UACGUAGGGUGCAAGCGUUUGUCCGGAAUUAUUGGGCGUAAAGAGCUCGUAGGCGGUCUGUCGCGUCUGCUGUGAAAACUCAGGGCUUAACCCUGAGCUUGCAGUGGGUACGGGCAGACUAGAGUGCGGUAGGGGGAGACUGGAAUUCCUGGUGUAGCGGUGAAAUGCGCAGAUAUCAGGAGGAACACCGGUGGGCGAAGGCGGGUCUCUGGGCCGUAACUGACGCUGGAGGUGCGGAAAGCGUGGGGAGCAAACAGGA
rnacentral:rRNA from 1 species